GGGGGGCUAGUUCAGUUGGUAGAACGCCGGUCUUGCAAAUCGGUGGCCUGGGGUUCGAAUCCCCAGCCCUCCA
rnacentral:tRNA from 2 species